CACUGCCUGAGCACAAACACGAGGUCUCAAGGCCUUUGGGCUACACGCGCAGCUCAGAGCUGACCAUGCGCGCCCGACACUGGGAGGAAAGGUGCAGCCACACUGAACCCCUCCUUCUCCGCGGAAAGAACUGCGCGCGCAGAAGAGCUCCUUCCGCCUUGGAGCCCCGCCCCACUGCCAAUCACUGCGCACUUCUCCCUUCAGCCACACGGCGGCGUCUCGCGAGCGCGCGGUGGCUGAUGGUACAGCCCGCCCCCCCCCUGCGCCCUGCGGACAGUGGACCCUCCCAGCGGUAGAAAAGCAUUGUGGGAAGGCAGCGCGGCCUUUCUGGUCUCCGCGCUCGGGGUGGUGCUAGGCUGCGCCUGCGGCUCCUGCAUGGCGGGGGCUCCGUGUAUGCGACCGCGGGGCUUCUGUGGGCCGGGGCGGGGUCCGGCCGGGCCCCUGAGCCCACUGUCGCGCCCGCGGCGGCCCGGUCGGGUCCGGGCCCCGAAUACGUGAACGGCAGCGCCUGGGCCUGACUUCAGCCACGUUGCACCCCAGGAGGCCCCGAAGCGGACCUCGGUCUGCGACCCCGCCGGGAAAUGGGGAGAUGGGUUGGAGUGCAUUUGAGUGUAUUGGUCAUGGACUGGAUGCCGGGAGUUUUUGAUAUAAACGCGGAGCUUCUGUGAAAGGGAACGGCCUCACCUAAGCCCACCCAUGUCACGCGGGGAAUCGGUCAGCGUAGAGGAGCCAGGUAAGGUUUAGGGCCUGACACCGGGUCCAGGUGCAGAACCGGCGGAAGUCGAACGAGUAUCGCCGACUGAGCAGUAUCCUGUCGCAUUGUGAGUUGCGAGAGAAAGUCUAGAGCUGGGAUUAGUUCUUCGUUCUCGUCCCAUCUCGAAUGAGCAGUUCUCCCCGCGGGGUGAUUUAGGGGCAGCAGCCUCGUGCCAGAGACCAGCAGUCUCUGCAGCGACUCAUGUAGCCUUUGUGUUGCCCAUUCACUUUUGGAAACUAGUGAAUGUGGUGUCAAAAAAGGCGUAAACUACACACUUUGCAGCCCUUUCCUGCCCUUGAAUUUGAUGUCUUUGGUGGAGGAGCUGUGGGAAGGAUGGAUGCAUGAAGCAUAGGCUGCUGCUACGUGAAGACUACCUGGGAGCACAAGUGACCUAAGGAUGCCCUUGGUGAAGAAUUUGAAAACUUGAUCUUCACAGGAGUUGCCCGGAUCAUUUAAAAUUUUCAAGAGUCUGAGGAAGACCAAAACUAUCUCUGGACAGUUCAUAAAUAUACAUUUAACACGAUGGGUCUGUGAAUAAACAUUUAAAUAUGC